GGCGCCGUGGCUUAGUUGGUUAAAGCGCCUGUCUAGUAAACAGGAGAUCACGAGUUCGAGAGCGCUCGAAUCUCGUCGGUGCCU